rnacentral:misc_RNA from 1 species
AGGUGGUUGCUGGGAAGUAUGCGGCUUCUGAUGAGGCGAAGGUUGAGAAUGGUGAAUGGCUUGCUCGUUCUGCUGUGGCCAAGGUGAAGAGUAUCUUCUCAGUCUCCAAAAUACAAUAGUACUUGCUGAGCGAUGAAAUUUUUUCAGUCAACGUUUUCCCCCUUGGGGGUGACAUUGUUCUUUUGACAUUCGAAUCCAAGGAUAUCAUGGACGGUUUCUUAUGGAUAAAGAUUCAUGUCUAAGCUGUUGGUUGGAUGAUCUGAAACCAUGGGAACCUAUCCUUACACCAAUGAAGAGAGCUGUAUGGUUGAGAUUAU